rnacentral:rRNA from 1 species
UACGUAGGUGGCAAGCGUUGUCCGGAAUUAUUGGGCGUAAAGCGCGCGCAGGCGGUCCUUUAAGUCUGAUGUGAAAGCCCACGGCUUAACCGUGGAGGGUCAUUGGAAACUGGGGGACUUGAGUACAGAAGAGGAGAGUGGAAUUCCACGUGUAGCGGUGAAAUGCGUAGAGAUGUGGAGGAACACCAGUGGCGAAGGCGACUCUCUGGUCUGUAACUGACGCUGAGGCGCGAAAGCGUGGGUAGCAAACAGG